rnacentral:rRNA from 1 species
GAUGAACGCUAGCGGCAUGCCUAAUACAUGCAAGUCGGACGGGAUUUGGGAGCUUGCUCCUGAUGAGAGUGGCGCACGGGUGCGUAACACGUAUGUAACCUACCUUAACCAGGGGGAUAGCCUCUCGCAAGAGAGAUUAACACCGCCUAAAAUAAUGGACUGGCAUCUGUUUCUUAUCAAAUAUUUAUAGUGUUAAGAUGGGCAUGCGGAACAUUAGCUAGUUGGUAAGGUAAUGGCGUACCAAGGCUACGAUGUUUAGGGGAUCUGAGAGGAUGGCCCCCCACACUGGUACUGAGACACGGACCAGACUCCUACGGGAGGCAGCAGUAAGGAAUAUUGGUCAAUGGGCGGAAGCCUGAACCAGCCAUGCCGCGUGCAGGAAGACGGCCCUAUGGGUUGUAAACUGCUUUUGUACCGGAAUAAACCUUUGGUCGUGACCGAAGCUGAAUGUACGGUAAGAAUAAGGAUCGGCUAACUCCGUGCCAGCCGCCGCAGUAA